GUAGACCAAAUAAGGCCUCCCGCCAAAACAAAAAAGCCUAAGGGCAUCAAGGUCGAAGGACCAAAUAAGGUCUCCCGCCAAAAUAAAAACCUAAGGGCAUCAAGGCCAAAAGACCAAAUAAGGCUACCCGCCAAAAUAAAGAAAUCCUGAAGCAACAGACUACCACCAAAAGGCCGCAAGGAAACGUCAACGAAGAAUCAAAGAAACAUGUCAAAAAGCACGUGUGAGCCGAGGGGCAAGAAAAACAAGGAAGGAUGAAAGAAAAAAN
rnacentral:lncRNA from 1 species